rnacentral:misc_RNA from 1 species
CUUAUUUAUAGAUGUUAAUUUAGCUAUAACGAGUUAAAAAUGAUGGGAUAAUUUUGCGCUAAAUUGGGGAAUCAAUGUUUCAGCUAAAAUAAGCCUGAAACAUCUAUUUUAUCAAGUAACACCUUAAUAAUCGGAAAUCAUGGUUGGCUAGAAUCGCGUAACGAUGAUCACUGUUAUUUUUCCGUUUGAGCAACUUGUUAUAUUUAGUCUUUCAACUGUGUUUCGUUAUCACGUUGUGGUGGU